rnacentral:rRNA from 1 species
AAGACAUGCAAGUCGAGCGAACAGAUAAGGAGCUUGCUCCUUUGACGUUAGCGGCGGACGGGUGAGUAACACGUGGGUAACCUACCUAUAAGACUGGGAUAACUUCGGGAAACCGGAGCUAAUACCGGAUAACAUUUGGAACCGCAUGGUUCUAAAGUGAAAGAUGGUUUUGCUAUCACUUAUAGAUGGACCCGCGCCGUAUUAGCUAGUUGGUAAGGUAACGGCUUACCAAGGCGACGAUACGUAGCCGACCUGAGAGGGUGAUCGGCCACACUGGAACUGAGACACGGUCCAGACUCCUACGGGAGGCAGCAGUAGGGAAUCUUCCGCAAUGGGCGAAAGCCUGACGGAGCAACGCCGCGUGAGUGAUGAAGGGUUUCGGCUCGUAAAACUCUGUUAUUAGGGAAGAACAAAUGUGUAAGUAACUGUGCACGUCUUGACGGUACCUAAUCAGAAAGCCACGGCUAACUACGUGCCAGCAGCCGCGGUAAUACGUAGGUGGCAAGCGUUAUCCGGAAUUAUUGGGCGUAAAGCGCGCGUAGGCGGUUUCUUAAGUCUGAUGUGAAAGCCCACGGCUCAACCGUGGAGGGUCAUUGGAAACUGGGAAACUUGAGUGCAGAAGAGGAAAGUGGAAUUCCAUGUGUAGCGGUGAAAUGCGCAGAGAUAUGGAGGAACACCAGUGGCGAAGGCGACUUUCUGGUCUGUAACUGACGCUGAUGUGCGAAAGCGUGGGGAUCAAACAGGAUUAGAUACCCUGGUAGUCCACGCCGUAAACGAUGAGUGCUAAGUGUUAGGGGGUUUCCGCCCCUUAGUGCUGCAGCUAACGCAUUAAGCACUCCGCCUGGGGAGUACGACCGCAAGGUUGAAACUCAAAGGAAUUGACGGGGACCCGCACAAGCGGUGGAGCAUGUGGUUUAAUUCGAAGCAACGCGAAGAACCUUACCAAAUCUUGACAUCCUUUGAAAACUCUAGAGAUAGAGCCUUCCCCUUCGGGGGACAAAGUGACAGGUGGUGCAUGGUUGUCGUCAGCUCGUGUCGUGAGAUGUUGGGUUAAGUCCCGCAACGAGCGCAACCCUUAAGCUUAGUUGCCAUCAUUAAGUUGGGCACUCUAGGUUGACUGCCGGUGACAACCGGAGAAAGGUGGGGAUGACGUCAAAUCAUCAUGCCCCUUAUGAUUUGGGCUACACACGUGCUACAAUGGACAAUACAAAGGGCAGCUAAACCGCGAGGUCAUGCAAAUCCCAUAAAGUUGUUCUCAGUUCGGAUUGUAGUCUGCAACUCGACUACAUGAAGCUGGAAUCGCUAGUAAUCGUAGAUCAGCAUGCUACGGUGAAUACGUUCCCGGGUCUUGUACACACCGCCCGUCACACCACGAGAGUUUGUAACACCCGAAGCCGGUGGAGUAACCAUUUAUGGAGCUAGCCCUGUAGAU